AUUUAAAUAGCUUAAAUUUAAAGCGUAACAUUGAAGCUGUUAAAAUGAAUUUUAAUUCUUUAAAUA
rnacentral:tRNA from 1 species